rnacentral:rRNA from 1 species
AUUGAACGCUGGCGACAUGCCUUACACAUGCAAGUCGAACGGCAGCACGGGGCAACCUGGUGGCGAGUGGCGAACGGGUGAGUAAUGCAUCGGAACGUACCUUUCAGUGGGGGAUAACGUAGCGAAAGUUACGCUAAUACCGCAUAUUCUGUGAGCAGGAAAGCAGGGGAUCGCAAGACCUUGCGCUGAUUGAGCGGCCGAUGUCAGAUUAGCUAGUUGGUGAGGUAAAGGCUCACCAAGGCGACGAUCUGUAGCGGGUCUGAGAGGAUGAUCCGCCACACUGGAACUGAGACACGGUCCAGGCUCCUACGGGAGGCAGCAGUGGGGAAUUUUGGACAAUGGGGGCAACCCUGAUCCAGCCAUGCCGCGUGAGUGAAGAAGGCCUUCGGGUUGUAAAGCUCUUUCGGCCGGGAAGAAAUCGCACGGGCUAAUACCCUGUGUGGAUGACGGUACCGGAAUAAGAAGCACCGGCUAACUACGUGCCAGCAGCCGCAGUAAUAC